UUAUGAAGGAAGCAUAGUAUUGUGGAAAGAGAAUGAAGAUUAAGGUCGGCAUGUCUACUCCUCUGACUUUAUAUGAUUUGGGGACCUCUGAUUCUAUAUGU
rnacentral:snoRNA from 1 species